GGGCGCUUAGCUCAGUUGGUUAGAGCGCUUGUUUUACACACAAGAGGUCACAGGUUCGAAUCCUGUAGUGCCCA
rnacentral:tRNA from 1 species